UGGGGAAUAUUGCGCAAUGGGGGGAACCCUGACGCAGCCAUGCCGCGUGAAUGAAGAAGGCCUUCGGGUUGUAAAGUUCUUUCGGUAUUGAGGAAGGUUGAUGUGUUAAUAGCACAUCAAAUUGAUGUUAAAUACAGAAGAAGCACCGGCUAACUCCGUGCCAGCAGCCGCGGUAAUACGGAGGGUGCGAGCGUUAAUCGGAAUAACUGGGCGUAAAGGGCACGCAGGCGGUUAUUUAAGUGAGGUGUGAAAGCCCCGGGCUUAACCUGGGAAUUGCAUUUCAGACUGGGUAACUAGAGUACUUUAGGGAGGGGUAGAAUUCCACGUGUAGCGGUGAAAUGCGUAGAGAUGUGGAGGAAUACCGAAGGCGAAGGCAGCCCCUUGGGAAUGUACUGACGCUCAUGUGCGAAAGCGUGGGGAGCAAACAGGAUUAGAUACCCUGGUAGUCCACGCUGUAAACGCUGUCGAUUUGGGGGUUGGGGUUUAACUCUGGCGCCCGUAGCUAACGUGAUAAAUCGACCGCCUGGGGAGUACGGCCGCAAGGUUA
rnacentral:rRNA from 1 species